AGAGGGUCACAAGUGUGAGUCCCACUCGGGCAACUAAAUGAGACUCUGGCUCAAAAUUUUAAGAAAGGGGUGGGGAGGUAGCUCAGUGUGAAGGUCUUGGGUUCAGUCCCCAGUAUCACAAAACAAAAACAGCCUUGGUGACUCACCUCAAACACCCCCGGCUCACUCAGGCAUUUGGGCAGCCCUGGUGGGAGCAGAGUUCUCCUUCCCCUCCCUCACAGAGCAGCCGCUCCACACCCAAGCUCCACUGCCCUAGAGGCAGAGUCAUCCGCAUGCAUGGAGGUGGAGACAUGGAGGUGGGGACAGCCGAGCAGAAGAACUCUAAGGAGUUGGGGCCCACAAGAGGAGUGGGGCCAGAAGAGAAGGGACUGUGCAGCCAUGUCUAACCUGCAGCCAUGGUUGGACAUGCCUGCGCUAUAAUACAAAUAUUGUAGGAAGAAGCUUUGUUGCUUACAUACACUAUUUUAUAUAUUGUAUAUGCAGCUCAAGACAACUGCUCUUCUCUCAUCCCAGCCCAGACAGCCCAGACAGUCCAGGCAUGUCCUACCCACUAGCACAGGAGGGAAACUUCUGAGGCCUUUGCCACCCCGGGCUCUGGGCAGAGCAGCCUGGGCAUCACCUGGCCGAUCCUUGGAAGGUAGCUUCGCCAGUCCCACCCAGGCCGACUGGCCAGUGCUGCGUGUCUCUGGCCCGAAAGUUGGAGAAGCGCUGAAUCUGCAGGAUUCCGUGAUCACUUAGAUCAGAGGUGACAGCCCACGAGGCUGCUGGGACUAACCAACGCCACCAUGAAGAGCUUCACCGUGCAGAGAGAGUUCUCACAGCAGCCCUGGGACAUGGGCCUUAUCAGCCCCAUUUUACAGAGGAAGGAAUGAGGCUCAAAGAGGACAGUCAGGAACUUAGAAGCCAUUUUUGUUAUGGUCUGCAGAUGCCAAAUAGGAUCUCAUCCCCUUCCUGACUGAGGACACCAAAAGAAGAGGUUUAAAGGGUCUUCAGCGGCACCCAAAGGCCUGCAGCUGUUGUCCUGAACCUGUGAUCACCAGGGUUCUAGGGAAGGUAAAGCCCACCUGACUGAAAUGGCCACAGGCAGGAACAGUCCUUCCCUGGGAGAUUCGAGAACUAUGACCCCAGGACUGAGGAAAGGGUCAGCCAGGCCCCAGCCCACCAGGUAACCUUUGAGAGCUGCCUUCCUGCCUCUGUGGGUGGGUCAGUCCGAACCCCUGCAUCAGAGUGUAUCCCUGUAUCCUUCCCUAUCUUCCCUCUCACUUGCCAAUUCAAUAUCUGUUUUCUGUAAAUUUGUGUUUCAUUUUAAUUUCCAAUUCUAUUCAAGCAAUGACCCACAAUAGCCAGUGACAUUCCACUUGCUAUAAAAACAGAGACUAGUGGCUCAUAGAGCUGGGUUUUAACUACAGAUCAGUUACUUCUUAAGCAUGCAAGAGCAGCAUCCUUCAGAAGUUUAGGUCUCACCAGAUUACUUGAUAAUUAUUUAGUUGCAAGGAUGGCUUUUCCACUGGACUGUACACCUACAUGAGUUCCAGGGUAUCUUUACUCUCUCUCUCUCUGGAAGCCCAGUGCACAAUGCCGAGAAUGUAAUAUAUGCUGAAUAGGCUACACUGAACGGUUCAACAGGCAUUUACCAAAAUAAUGUGUGCCAGAUCCUAUAAAAAGCACACAGACUACAAAGAUAAAAAUGUGCCCCCCACCCCCGAAAAACCUCUUGCAUUAGGCAUACGGACAUUGCACUACAGUCAGCACUUGUAACAGUGGAAGAAUGCACAAAAUAUGGAGGAAGAAUGCACAAAGUGUGGAGGAAGCGUGGGGAAGGGGCUUCCAGGGAGGAAGAGUGACAGGGGAGGUGACCACUGCAGCAGAUGCAAAGCCUGAGCGAGACUGGAUGCAGGAGAACUCUGCCCUGGGGACAAGAACAGGAUGCUUCAGGCUGGGAAGAAUAGGCUGGAACACAAAGGUCUGAGAGAGCCUGGUUUUGCUAAAGCUACAGGGUAAAUAAACAGCACUCAGGAGGAUACAGGUUUCCUAAAGGGUCCCCCAUAAAUCAAACAACUUCCACCCCCAAACUGCAGGCCUCCUACCUUGAGCCCACCCCAGUCCAUGACCAUUGGAAAACACCUGCAGGACAAGAAGGAGGGGUGCCCAGCUGGGCGUGCGCAGUGCCUUUUCCCAAGUCACCAAUCAAAGGGCCCUCUUUCAACCCCAAGAGAACAGAGAGGAGCUAU